UGCAUUCAUUUUUUGCUGGGAUGCUUCUGAAAUAUCAUUACAGACAGGGAAACUGGCCAGCAGAGAAUUGGGGAGCUUGUUCAGUGCCAGGGAACUGGACUCGAUUACCCAGGUGGCCUGGUCUUAGGUGACCAAAGAGGAGGAACACUCACCACAGCUGUGAUAACGGGAAGGAGAGAGUCUUGGGGACAAGGGGGAGACACAGCAGCAAAUUGUCCUGCACUGUAAGGGCAGCUGAAGCCUUUUCGAGAGCCCAGCGGAGGGUGGCAGGUUCCGAAGCCUUCAGACCUGGGUCAGGAGGUCCAAAGCCACUUACAGUGACAUUCUUUCACGUUCCUGGGGCACAGUUGUGGGUAAGGCAGGGCCCUCUAACAUGUCAACAUGGUUUUCUAGAGGAUACAAAUAUUUUAAUUUUGAAUAGCAUUCGUGAUCUUUCCUAUUAUUGUAUAAGUCUUACCUAAUGUCAAGCGACAUAUAUCUCGAGACUUCCUUGCCCCUUAUGUGACCCUGAAUCUGGAGGGAGGCAUUUUGGCUCCUGAAGCAAACAGCGGGAAAUAAUUCAUGAUAUGGUUCACAGAUGGUCAUCAUUAACGGUGGAUACCAUCUGGCAGCUUCUCACUUUAAAUCGUUCCUCUUGCUAAGCAGAUAUUAAACUUUCACAAUCUUCGCCUAGAGAUUUGGGUCCUCCAGAUCUCCAUGCUUCGGGCCUCGUUCCUUUCCCGUGUGUGACUCCUGUCCAUCCUUGCUCCAGACAUCUCAGGCACGGAUUAGGUGUGUAUGCUGUACAUGCACAUCAGAGUGAGAACAGGAUCUUGGGAGAGAAAAGAUUGCCUCUGGAAGGUUCAACUGAAGAGACUUCAAUGAAAGGACUGUUUACAGUGGUACACACAAGAGCCCCAGUUCCAAAGAAGGAGGGAGCCUGGAAGGAGAUCCUGCCUUUCUUCUCACUAUAAGACCUCUUGCUGGGACUCCCAUUGGCCAAAACCAAGAAGUCAACCAUCAAGAUCUGGAUGUAGAACCCUCAAACUCCUUCUCCAGCACGUGUAUGCCUGCAUGCAGUCAUGUUUCUGGUCGUGACAAUGGACUGAACCUCUGAAAGAGUUAGCCAGCCCCAAAUAAACAUUGAAGAUUUGCUGUGGUUGUGGGGUCAGCUGUGAUAAGCUAAGUCUGGGCAGGCUACCCAGAGGAAGUUCUUUACUUCCAACCAUUAUCACCUGGGACUCUGGCCAUCGAUGAAUUUAAAUGGAGUCUGGAGUCUCAGUAGUUUACCCCGAGACAAUACCGGGCUAAAAGAGGAACCACAGGCUGAGAUAGCCUGACCCCCACCCAAGAGCAGACCAUUCAAAGGAAACGCCAGGCAUUCUAACCGCUAUAGAUAAGAUCACCUGCCAGCGUACCUCAACAGGACACCCCUAGACAGAUGUCAGCCAAUCAGAGGUCCUGAACCUCAAAACCCCUCAUCCCCACCUUUACUACUAUAAAAAACCCAA